rnacentral:rRNA from 1 species
CCUACGGGAGGCUGCAGUGGGGAAUAUUGGGCAAUGGACGCAAGUCUGACCCAGCAACGCCGCGUGAAGGAAGAAGGCUUUCGGGUUGUAAACUUCUUUUAAGGGGGAAGAGCAGGAGGGGGUACCACUUGAAUACGCCACGGCUAACAACGUGCAAGGCGCCGCGGUAAUGCGGAGGUGGCAAGCGUUUUGCGGUUUUAGUGGGUGUAAAGGGCGUGCAGCCGGGGAGACAAGUCAGAUGUGAAAUCCACGGGCUCAACCAGUGAACUGCAUUUGAAACUGUUUCUCUUGAGUGUCGGAGAGGUAAUCGGAAUUCUUUGUGUAGCGGUGAAAUGCGUAGAUAUAAGGAAGAACACGAGUGGCGAAGGCGGAUUACUGGACGAUAACUGACGGUGAGGCGCGAAAGCGUGGGGAGCAAACAGGAUUAGAUACCCGGGUAGUC